rnacentral:rRNA from 1 species
AUGACGACGACGCGCCCCGCCGCUACGACCGAGGAAGAGGAAGAGGAGGAGGCGGUGGUGGCCGCCUCUGCAGCGGCCAAUGCCGCGCCACCGGACGCAGACGAUCGGGAGCAGCAGAAGAAGGUUCGGGCGAGGAAGAAGAAGAAGCGUCGGAGGGCGCCGAGCGAGGAGGAGCUGGCCGCGCUGAGGUCCGUGCUCCGCUGGGCCCGCCGCGGCGAGGCGGGCGACGACGAUGCGGCGGACUGUGGUGGGCACCUGUUGCCGGCGGGGAGGCGGCGGCCGCGCGUGGCGGUGGAGCUGCAUGCGCACUCGACGCGCAGCGACGGCUCGCUCUCGCCCGCGGCGCUCGUGGAGCGCGCGCACCGCAACGGGGUGAAAGUGUUCGCGCUAACUGAUCAUGACACCAUGGCGGGUGUCGCGGAGGCGAUGGAGACUGCAAAGGAAUUUUCCAUCAGGAUCAUCCCUGCUGUUGAGAUAAGUGCAGUUUAUUCGCCUAGUAAUGGAUCAGGAGCCAAUGAACCUGUUCAUGUUCUUGCAUACUACGGUAGUUGGGGCCCUGCUAAAUCUCAGGAACUGGAGAAGGUUCUAUCUAGCAUCAGGGAGGGCCGCUAUACACGUGCCAAGGAGAUGCUAUCGAAACUUAGGAACCUCGGCAUGCCAUUGAACUUCGAAGAUGUAUCUAAUAUAGCAGGGAGUGGGGUGGCUCCAGGGCGGGUGCACGUUGCGCGUGCCAUGGUUGAAGCUGGAUAUGUUGAUAAUCUUAGGCAAGCUUUCAGCAGGUACUUGUACGAUGGAGGGCCUGCUUAUGCUACUGGUAGUGAGCCAGCUGGGGAAUCUGUUGUGCAGCUAAUAUGUAGAACUGGGGGCAUAGCUGUUUUGGCUCAUCCGUGGGCAUUGAAAAAUCCUGUUCCUGUGAUAAAGGAUUUGAAGGCUGCUGGUCUGCAUGCUAUUGAGGUCUAUCGAAGCGAUGGGAAACUAUCUGGAUUGAGUGAUCUGGCUGAUACUUAUGAGCUUCUGAAGCUCGGUGGAUCAGAUUACCAUGGACGAGAUGACAAGGAAGAACCUGAUAUAGGAAGUGUUGAUCUUCCGGUCUUGGCAUUUUUUAGAUUUCUUGAGGCAGCUCAACCAAUUUGGUGCAAUGCUAUCAAGGAAAUUUUUGCAAACGCCACUGAAAGAACUGGCUUGAAUGGCCCAAAAGGAUGUCAUCGGACUAACUCUGUAGAUGAUUUAUGUGAUACGUGCCUUUCUUCUCCAGAACUGGGGGAAACAGAUGAUUCUGAGGCUGAGGUCCUCAGGACGGAAUUUGCGGACAUUAUCCUCAGCAACAGAAGCUGCAAGACGCUUAUUGAACAGCGAGCGGAAAUCACCUCUCUUCUCCACUGA